rnacentral:rRNA from 1 species
UACGUAGGGUGCAAGCGUUGUCCGGAUUUAUUGGGCGUAAAGAGCUCGUAGGCGGUCUGUCGCGUCGGAUGUGAAAACCCAGGGCUCAACCCUGGGCCUGCAUUCGAUACGGGCAGACUAGAGUGUGGCAGGGGAGACUGGAAUUCCUGGUGUAGCGGUGAAAUGCGCAGAUAUCAGGAGGAACACCGGUGGCGAAGGCGGGUCUCUGGGCCAAUACUGACGCUGAGGAGCGAAAGCGUGGGGAUCAAACAGG